UUUGGACUAAGGAGCACCCUGAAAACACACAUGAUAAUUCAUACAGGACAAAAAGCAUUUGUCUGUUCUGAGUGUGGUCAAAGAUUUCGACACAAGGGCAUCCUGAACACACACAUGAGAAUUCAUACAAGGCAAAACCCAUUUGUCUGUUCCGAGUGUGGUAAAAGAUUUGGACUAAAAAGCUCCCUGAACAGACACAUGAUAAUUCAUACAGGGCAAAAAGCAUUUGUCUGUUCUGAGUGCAGAAAAGCAUUUGGACAAAAGUGCAACUUGAAAACACACAUGAUAAUUCAUACAGGACAAAAAGCAUUUGUCUGUUCUGUGUGCAGUAA